UUUAGAGUUUGAUUCCCUGGCUCAGGACGAACGCUGGCGGCGUGCCUAAUACAUGCAAGUCGAACGCUUCUUUCCUCCCGAGUGCUUGCACUCAAUUGGAAAGAGGAGUGGCGGACGGGUGAGUAACACGUGGGUAACCUACCCAUCAGAGGGGGAUAACACUUGGAAACAGGUGCUAAUACCGCAUAACAGUUUAUGCCGCAUGGCAUAAGAGUGAAAGGCGCUUUCGGGUGUCGCUGAUGGAUGGACCCGCGGUGCAUUAGCUAGUUGGUGAGGUAACGGCUCACCAAGGCCACGAUGCAUAGCCGACCUGAGAGGGUGAUCGGCCACACUGGGACUGAGACACGGCCCAGACUCCUACGGGAGGCAGCAGUAGGGAAUCUUCGGCAAUGGACGAAAGUCUGACCGAGCAACGCCGCGUGAGUGAAGAAGGUUUUCGGAUCGUAAAACUCUGUUGUUAGAGAAGAACAAGGACGUUAGUAACUGAACGUCCCCUGACGGUAUCUAACCAGAAAGCCACGGCUAACUACGUGCCAGCAGCCGCGGUAAUACGUAGGUGGCAAGCGUUGUCCGGAUUUAUUGGGCGUAAAGCGAGCGCAGGCGGUUUCUUAAGUCUGAUGUGAAAGCCCCCGGCUCAACCGGGGAGGGUCAUUGGAAACUGGGAGACUUGAGUGCAGAAGUAGAG
rnacentral:rRNA from 1 species